CUGCAAGAAAAUUAAGCGUGCAUUUGAUGUUCCUUCUCAUACAUCCUUUGGGAUGCAGGGGAGAUUCAAGGGGCAUAUCAAAUCAAAGUUACUACCAGUGCUUUAGCCCUACUGCUAUCCAGUAGGCAUCCUGAAUGAACAAAUAUUAAUGUCCAAGGCCAUCUAAUUAAGCCUAUGUCAGGGAUAACAACUCGUUCAAAAGCUAAAUCUGCUCCGGAUCAGUGGACUAUAAUGCCACUUCCAGCAAAGAUUUUGGCUUUACUGGCAGAUGCAUUGAUUGAAAUACAAGAACAAGUUCAUGAUACCGAGGACGAGGGUAGUGACUGGGAAGAAAUUCAUGGAGACAUGGACUCAGACAAAGAUUUGUUAUCCUCUGCUGCUGUCACGCCAUUUG